rnacentral:rRNA from 1 species
UACCUGCAGCUCAAGUGUUGGCCGCUAUUAUUGGGCCUAAAACGUCCGUAGCCGGUUCUAUAAAUGCCUGGGUAAAUCGUACGGCUUAACCGUACGAAUUCCGGGUAGACUGUUCAACUUGGGACCGGGAGAGGCUAGAGGUACUCCUGGGGUAGAGGUGAAAUUCUGUAAUCCUAGGGGGACCACCAGUGGCGAAGGCGUCUAGCUAGAACGGGUCUGACGGUGAGGGACGAAGCCCUGGGGAGCAAUCGGG